UAUUAAAGUUUUUUAACUGCUGUAGAGCUCCUUACCCUACGGCUUCUCCUUUGCGCUUCGUCGUCAGAUCGGGAUUCUUUGGCGGCCGGAGAUGGCGCAACCGGAAGGGCGGCCGGUAGUGGCAGGGGAAGCGACGAGGCAGGGGCGGCCUGGCCAGCAGCAGCAGCAAGGGUUCGGCCAGACGUUGUCGGGGAUCGUGCGGAUGGCCGUGUUCUGGUACUUCGCCAUGAAGUUUUUCGGCCCCAAGAAGCCCGCAGAGCCCUCUCAGCUCAUGUCAAAUAUGCUCGCUAAGGGAGAACCCUUGGACAUGUGGGUCUAUCUCUCUGAGAAUGAGAAGUUUAAGGACUUUGGCAAAGAGGAUGCCUUAGUUUGGCAUGAGGCAAAUAUACCUUACGCAGUUUGGGGACCAAGUAGUUUCAGAUCCAUUUCUUUGAAGUAUUACCCAUCAGAGGUUGUAAAGAACAAUGGUAGCCUGUAUGCUCAUGUUUUCUUUGCUCGUUCGGGUUACCCUCCAGAUCCUAAUGAUCCUGAGUAUGAACCACUAUCUACCUUUGGAAGAACCCAUUCCAUUGUUACCUUCUUGCCCAAGCCAAAAUCUGGUAAAAAGAAGAGUUUGCUUGGAAGUUCCAAGGAUUCCGAAGAGGAAGAAUCUGCAUUUCAGGCAAAGGAUGACAAGCAAGUUGAUACAAUUGAUGAGAGUCAUGUUGAAUGGAUUCCAUAUUGGAAACCAAAUGUCACCAUUGAUCUUGUUGAUGAUUUCACUAGAUACUCACAUAACCAGAUCCCACCACAUAUUGCUGGCCAUAUAAAUGUUGAGCCAACCACAGGGAAUUACUAUCCCACUAUUUUCUUCAAUGAAUUUUGGCUAUUGCGGGAUAAACUGAUACCACUAAAUGACACCGUGAUAGAACUGCCACUUAAUUUGGAAGUGGGGCUCAUCAGCUUGACUAAGUGGCAAUUCUUUUUGCAAAUUGAGCAAGCAUUUCAGGUUCAGCGUAGUUAUGGUAGCAUGCUUGAAGGCGAGUCUGAUGAAAUUAAGCGAGUAUUCUUGGAAGGGAACCCAUAUCUAUUGGCAUUGACAAUGAUGGUAUCGGUUCUACAUUCUUUGUUUGAUAUCUUGGCCUUCAAGAAUGAUAUUCAGUUUUGGAAUAAGAACAAGUCUAUGGAAGGAUUGUCUGCAAAAUCAGUCAUCUUGAAUUUCAUUUGCCAGCUUAUUGUUUUCCUUUACCUCUUUGACAAUGAAACUUCAUGGAUGAUACUUUCUAGCUCUGGCAUUGGGUGCUGCAUUGAGUUUUGGAAAAUCGGGAAAGCCAUGCACAUUGAGAUUGACAGAAGUGGCAGGAUACCCAUCUUGAAGUUUCGAGACCGUGAGUCAUAUGCUAAGAACAAAACAAAGGAGUAUGAUGAUCUUGCCAUGAAGUAUCUCUCAUAUAUUCUGUUCUUCCUUACAAUUUGCUUCUCCAUAUAUUCACUCAUGUACGAGCAACAUAAAAGCUGGUAUUCUUGGAUACUUUCUUCUCUCACUAGUUGUGUAUACAUGUUUGGGUUUAUUAUGAUGUGCCCACAGCUUUUUAUUAACUAUAAGCUCCAAUCUGUGGCUCAUCUCCCUUGGCGUCAAAUGACGUACAAAUUCCUCAAUACUAUCAUUGAUGAUCUUUUUGCAUUCGUCAUCAAAAUGCCAAUGCUGCAUCGUUUAUCUGUUUUCCGAGAUGAUAUUAUUUUCCUCAUUUACCUGUAUCAGAGAUGGAUGUACCCUGUGGAUAAGAAACGCCUUAAUGAAUUUGGGUUUGGUGGUGAAGACGAAACCCAGAGCUUAACUUCUAGUGGCACUGCGACUGCUCAGGAUGAUGAAGUGUCUGAAGGCAACAAAAAGACAAACUAAACGAUGUUAUCUUUUACCAUUAAGAUUCAAUGCUGAUACACCUGCUUUACAGUAGGCAUCUUUGUGUUAUGGGGUUGCAACUUAAGAGGUUGCAAGACUGUCUACGAUUGUGGGCUCGACUCUCUUUCUUGGUUGGAAAGUGAAGUUCGUGCAGUACAAGAUUGCUUCACACUUGCCCGUGCUUUGACAUCUUGUCUAUCCAAACGAGUUCUGUUCACAAAUCUGGUACUUGAACGUGCAUUACUACUGAGAAGGUUUUGGGUUAAGCUUCAGUUCAUUUUUUCUGUGUAUUCCUGCUCCAUCAUUAAUUUCUUUCAAGUCUUUGUGUUCAUUGUCUGACAUUUGUUUUGAUCGAUUGAAAAUCCAUGUUUCUUGUUU